AGCAUAUGUAUCAGAACCCUCUGGUUUCAAGUAACAGAAACCAACUCAAGUGAACUGACAUGGAAUUUGGUGAUUUCCACAACUGGAAAGUGAUCUAAGACCAGCCCCAACCUUGGCAAUGCUGGACACAUGUGCUCAACAUCACUCAGGCACCAGCAUCCAUCCCUCCAGCUGUGGCUCUCCUCUGGCUGGCAGGCCCCUUCCCAUAGGCACGAAGUCAUCAACACUGACUUUCCAGAUCAGCAGCCUGUAUCCACAGUGCUGGUCUCAUUGGUCCACCUUGGGAAACUUAUCUAUGAAUGAACCAAUCAUAGAGCUUGGGAGGAACAGCCCUCUGAAUGGCCUGAUGUAGGUCAUGUACUUAGUUGUAGAUCCAGCGAAUGUUGUCAGCGCCCCCAGAACACAGGGCCUAACAUAGAAAAUGGUUGUUGCCUGAGAGAUACUGAGCGGGCAGCAAUCCCAGCUUCCACAUCAAGCAGGUGGUUGGAGGACGAAGAUCCUUGAACUAUCUUUAACCACCAAAGGAUUUUUAAUUUAGUGUGUGUGUGUGUGUGUGUGUGUCCACACAGUGCUGGGAUUCAAAGCCAGAGCUCUGUGCAUGCUGGCACAGCUUCCUAAUCUCAGUCAUUAUGAAGUUUAACUUUCACAGUGAAUUUAUCAGUUGAGGGUCUUACAAACAUGUGAGUCUCACUCUGGUUGAUUUAAAUAGAAGUCACAUUUAUGAAAGCAUAUUAACAGCUGACAGAGUCUCCACAUGAUUCAGAGUGAAAAAGAAACUUGGGCUCUGAGUUCAUGAGCAGUGCAGAGCUUCCCACCCAUCUGGUGAUAGGCCUUUGCUGCAUUCUGCUACUGAAGUCUCAUGAUGUCCAAUCGAUGGGUAUAGCCUAGAUCACAUGCCUGAGAGUUCCCCACAGAUGAGUCCAUAACAGAGUGAGAUGCCACCUAUAACAUGGCUGUGUUUACCAGCUUUGUGUUGCUGUAAUGAAAGACCUGAAGCAAUUAACUUACAAAGAUAAAAGCCUUGCUUUGUCUGAUAGUUCCAGAAGGCCAAGUCCAAGACUGGGAAUAUCUAUUGCUUUGAGUUCCUGGUGGGGGUACCAGAUGGAAAUGGCAGAGAAAACUACUUACGGGGGUGGGGGGGUGGGGGUGGGUAGAAAGAGGUUAUCCCACAAUUCCCCUCAAGGACAAACCUCCAAGAACCUCAACACCUUCCACUAGGCCCAACCAUGGUUCCACUGCCUCCCAACUGUACCGCCCUUGAGGGGGCAUACCUUUACUACAUGGCUCUUUGGUGUGAGCCUUAACCAAACCACGGCAGUGGCGAUGUCCCAGGUUUGGAAAGCUAUUAAAAUGCUGCGGAGCUGGCAUCCAUGAGACCCAUGCCCACUAUACGGUCUCUGAAAGGUCAAGCUGUCUGUCUCUUCCUGGCUCUGGAGACACUGAGCAACUGAGUCAAGACUCUUUGUUUUCACAUGUGGCCCCCUAACUAGCCGGUGAGCCUAGUUAACACAAUUUUGGCCAACAAAACUUGAACAAAGUGUGGCUUGCAGAUAUUUCUCAGUGAGACUGGCUGACAGAGGCUCACAGUUUCAUUAUAAAGACGGUCUCCAGUGGGUCAUCCAAGCAUGGCUAUGCCCCCACUCACUCUGGAACCUCUGCAAGUAGCUAAUAAGCCUGUCACAGGAGUGCAGAAAUGCUGCUCUGACCUGUUAUAGCCAAAGAAACAAACCUCGUCCAUGAAUGAGAACUGGGCUGAUGGUGGGGCCUGGCAAGGGCCUCCCUGGUCUGAUUAAUUCUUCUGGGAGUCUAGCAUGCUCUAGCUCAUCCCAGGAGACAAGCUUAUUUGACUUUCCUCCUAUGUCUGUGAACUGCUUCAUCAGGAGCCAAAGUCCCUCGGUGAAGACAUCAUUCUUUGAGUAGCAGCAGUGUUACAGAUGCUGAGCUAACACUGAGCAAACAUAUCCUGCCCCCAAGAAGCCUUCAGAUUAGCCAGUGUAAGUGACGUGAGGGGAGGCAAGACAGGAGACAGACUCAUUAGCGUGCUAUUACUUUGAAAGACGUCCAGCUCUCCUUUGUAAGUCGAUCUGAUCUGAUAUGGGAGCACAAUCAUUCUAUGUUCUGAACACACAAUUCAACAGUAAAGCAUCUCCUGGUGGGAAGUCUGUUGGUGUCACCAUCAAGUACACUUAGCCAUAUUUAAUAAAUGAUAAUGACCAUUGCAGAACAUCUCUGCUGUGCCAGGCAUACACAGCUCCUGGGUAAAUGCCGGGAAAGGCAGUUUUGGACCUCCCCUGGGAGUGCGGCAUGUUCCACGAGGGUGGGGCAUUGCAGGAUCUGGGCCUUGACUGGAUGUCUCUCUCUGUGACCCUCCAGUUUCGCCAUUGCCGAGGAAGUGGCAGGUACCUCCGAGGACCACUAGGUGUCGCUGUAAACCUGUGAGAUCCAGGCCUUCCACCGAAACGCAGCAUCCGCUAGGUCUGUUUUCAAUCAACACGUUGUCAGUUUUUCUCCCCAAGGCCCCAGGGGUGUGCUAGGAAUUUUUAUUUCUUGAGAAACCCUGUGAUUCGGCUGCCCUUUGUUAGCCCUGCCUGAGAGAGCAGAGUUGUGCUUGCUCCUGCAGCCCCGCUCCAGGCAGAGUGGGAAGGACCCAGCAGGGGCUCCAGGCCACCGGCCACAGCCCCUGCCUCAGGUCUCUCCUCCCGCUCUGUCUCCCGUCAGUGGCACUGGUGGCCUAGCCCUGUCAAAGCCUCUUUCAACCCUUUCAGGACACCCAGAACCGAGCGUGCGGCUGCUUUUCUUCUGAUCCUCGCCUUGCCAGCUGGAGGCCUUCCGCAGCUCUCUCGCCGGGUAGUUCUCAACCUUCAAGUGCUGCGACUCUUUAGCACGGGUCCCUGUGCUGCGAUGGCCCCUCCAGCCGUGAAAUCAUUUGUUGCUACUUCAUAACUGUAGUUUUGCUACUGCCGUGAAUCAUAAUGUGAAUAUCUGAUGCGCAGGCUAUCUCCCAUGUGACCCCAAGGGGUCACUGCGGCUGACUAGAACCCUUUACUUGUGUCGGUACUGAUUAACUUGCGGAUUGCCCAGCUGGGAGCCGCCUCGGUCAACAGGUCAACAGCCACAGCUUGCUUGCAAGAGGCCAUGAUAACUGUCCUGCCGCCCUCCUGGAAAAGGCCACUUGUGGGUGGAGCUCCAGGUUUGGACAUUUCUGGUUCCCAGCACCCUCGUAGCUGCUGCGGUUUCCGGGAGGAGGUAACAAGGUCCUGGCGGUGGGUGCCUGGAGCUGCUCUCUGCGGGUGGUGAGGCCACAGGCCCCGGAACCAACCUCCUGAGCUACAGCGACCCAGCUGGGAAGACUUUCCCAGAGGCAGGUCCGGAUCAGACAGUGGCAGCGGCCGGGCAAGAGGACAGUGCCCCUGCUGGCCGACUCGAGUAACUGCUCCCCUUCGGCGCGGGGAGAGACCCGGCGGUGCAGGCGCUCCAUCACGGCAUCCCAGCUGACGAGACUACUGCACCCUCAGCCUCCUGAGGAACGGGACACAGGCACUCACCACCACACCUCUAUGAGCGGAUCAUUUUCAGAGUUGGCUUCUUACCUUACAGCACGCGUUAUAGCUUGUCCUCUCCCAGGUGACACACAGGAAGGUCUGGGUGUUCCGAGACUCCUUCCCCCCCACCUCACUGACUGUUUAUUAGGG